GCAUCUGUGGCCGAGAGGCCGAAGGCAGCGGACUCAUGAAUCCGCCAUCCUAUUAGGGACGUCGCUGGUUCGAAUCCAGCCAGAUGCAA
rnacentral:tRNA from 1 species